AUCAGGAGAGAGUGAGUGAGUGAGAGUUUGACAGAGAGCAGUGUGUGAUUUCAGAUCUUCUACCAGGUGAAUCUCUCACCCAGGGAGGUAGCACACUGUGACAGCGGUAUCAACCAGACUCUGACAGAGAAUUGGAAGAAAGUCAUGUAUCUACCCAGGCCAGAGAACCAGCCGUAAAAGACAAAAGGCGGUCUCCCCCUUCG